GUAGGUGGCAAGCGUUGUCCGGGAAUUAUUGGGGCGUAAAGCGCGCGCAGGCGGUUCUUUAAGUCUGAUGUGAAAGCCCACGGGCUCAACCGUGGAGGGUCAUUGGAAACUGGAGAACUUGAGUACAGAAGAGGAAAGCGGAAUUCCACGUGUAGCGGUGAAAUGCGUAGAGAUGUGGAGGAACACCAGUGGCGAAGGCGGCUUUCUGGUCUGUAACUGGCGCUGAGGCGCGAAAGCGUGGGGAGCAAACAGGAUUAGAUACCCUGGUAGUCCACGCCGUAAACGAUGAGUGCUAAGUGUUAGGGGGUUUCCGCCCCUUAGUGCUGCAGCUAACGCAUUAAGCACUCCGCCUGGGGAGUACGGCCGCAAAGGCUGA
rnacentral:rRNA from 1 species